GAUUAUGGCUCAGGAUGAACGCUAGCGGCAGGCUAACACAUGCAAGUCGAGGGGUAACAGGGCGUAGCAAUACGCCGCUGACGACCGGCGCACGGGUGCGUAACGCGUAUACAACCUACCUGUAACAGGGGGAUAACGGAGUGAAAACUCCACUAAUACCCCAUAUUGACGAGUCUUCGCAUGGGGGUUCGUCGAAAGCUUCGGUGGUUACGGAUGGGUAUGCGUGACAUUAGGUAGUUGGCGGGGCAACGGCCCACCAAGCCGACGAUGUCUAGGGGAGCUGAGAGGCUAGUCCCCCACACUGGUACUGAGACACGGACCAGACUCCUACGGGAGGCAGCAGUGAGGAAUAUUGGUCAAUGGACGGAGGUCUGAACCAGCCAUGCCGCGUUGAGGGAAGAAGGUCCUAUGGGUUGUAAACCUCUUUUGCUCCGGAGCAAUAAGGCGGAUGCGUCCGCCGACGAGAGUACGGGGCGAAUAAGCAUCGGCUAACUCCGUGCCAGCCGCGGC
rnacentral:rRNA from 1 species